rnacentral:tRNA from 1 species
GAUCUCAGUGGCAGAACAUCUGCUUGGCAUGCAGAAGGUCUCAGGUUCAAUUCCCGGCAUCAACA